rnacentral:tRNA from 1 species
GGUUUUAUAUUUUAUUUAAAAUAUUAAAUUGCAAAUUUAAAGAUACAUAAUUUAUGUUAAAACUU